UUAGCUCUCUUUGCCUCAUGGCUUAGAUCAAGUGUAGUAUCUGUUCUUAUCAGUUUAAUAUCUGAUAUGUGACCAACGAGUCACACUCAUUUAUUAUUCUCAUUUUUGGCCUCUCGGGUGCCGGUUCCUCUGCGCUCGCGCAUGAAGCGGCUGCCCACCGUGUCCCCGGUCUUUACACUGCUUCCGGGCGAUGCGACCUCUU
rnacentral:snRNA from 1 species